rnacentral:tRNA from 1 species
GCCCUAGUAGCUCAGCAGGUAGAGCACUUGUGUUCUAAUCAAGGGGUCGCAGGUUCGAGUCCCGCCUAGGGCG